GGAAUCGAACCUGCAACCUCAUGGUUCCUAGUCGGGUUCAUUUCCACUGCGCCACAAUGGGAACUCCAAUCAUUGAGUUUUUAAUGAUGCUUUUCAGAGUACCAGUAACAUAGUUUUCAUUUUAUGAACGUAGAAAAUCUUACCCGAGUUCUUCUCAAUGGUUUUUCUUUUAAACAUUCUUCCUUGCACCACAGGCAGAGAAUCCUCUAGAAGUGAUAAAAUAUACUUCACCUGCCUUUGCUUCCUCUGUUCCUGCCUCUGGAUCUUUGUCAAACCUGAGUUUCUACAUUCCAAGCUAGGUUAUCUCUGCAGGAUCCUUGACACUUUAAGUGACCAUUACCCUUGUUAGGCAUGAGAGGUCAGCAAGUUGUGCAUUCUGCCUUUGGAUGUGGAGCCUUUCAAGGAAGGCCGGUGAUGUGGAGCACCAGAUGCUCUGGUUUUUAGGGCUUUGACACAGUUGAUCUCGGCUUCCCUUCUCAGGUUCAGUGGCUCACCCUCAAUGCACUAUGCACUUGCGCAUGAUGUGCAGUGUUCUGUAGCUCCACCUACCCUCGAUGAAGGAAAUUAUAUUAAAAUCGUCUUAGGGGAGUUCCCGUCGUGGCUCAGCAGUAACGAACCCAACUAGUAUCCAUGAGGACAUGGGUUAAAUCCCUGGUCUCGCCCAGUGGGUUAAGGAUCCAGCGUUGUCAUGAGCUGUGGUAUAGGUCACAGACAUGGCUCGGAUCCCGUGUGGCUGUGGCUCUGGUGUAGGCUGGCAGCUGUAGCUCCGAUUCAACCCUUAACCUGGGAACUUUCAUAUGCAGCAGGUACAGCCCUAAAAAGACCAAAAAAUAAAAAGAAAAACAUCUUGGAUGUGAGUCAUUGUCUGCGGAAGCCAUGUGGCCAUCAUGUUUCAACAUGAGUUUGGGCAAAAUGACAUUGAGUUUCUCCUUUGAAGUUGUGGAACUUCCUCUAUUUCCCUUAUUCUUCUGUGUUUUGUUUUUUCCUGAAAGCUUCAGGAAAGACCAAAGAGAGGUGAGUGGAACUUGGCUUGGCUGUCUCCUUACUCAGGCUACUGGAGACUGGUUCUCAACUACAGCUGUUUAGAAGAUUCAGUAAACAUGAUGGUGUCUUUCGUGGCAAUGUUCCAAGUUUAUUAUCCUGUCUUCCUGUAUGUAGGGAGUACAUAUUUAGAGCUUUGAUUAAAGAGCUCUUAAGAUGCUACUUAGUGACUCUGUGGGGAAGGCAUGGCUGUUUUAUCAUGGUUCUGUGGAUACCUUGAAGGUUGUUAAUAACAGUAAUCAAAAUAUUAUAGCUUCCAUUUAUUGAAAGCCUACCAAGCAGUAUGUUAAAUGUUCUACCUUCAUCAUCUCAUAAACUUCACAAAGCAAGUGUGGGUUUUUUGGUUUUUUGUGUGUGUUUUUUCGGCCAAAAAAGUGCUUGUUUGACAUAGUGCAAGUUAAUUUUAUUUUAUAUAUGCGGAAGCUGAGACCCAGAUUUUGCACAAGUACACAGUCAUCUGACUGCAAAACAUAUGCUUCUUCAGUAUAUUAAGUCUCAAUAAGACUUAGCAAAGCAUUGCAAAAAACGCCAUUCGGAAAUCGGUUCUUCUGUCAAUUAUCUUAUCAGUUUUUCUAUCAAUUAUCCACAGUUUCCAAGGUCUAUGAUGUUUUGCUAUAAAUCUCCAGUAGUGAAAACCAGACUGCUAGUCAUGCAUUCUCAGUUGACAGGAUCCUGUAAAGUAGAUUAGAUACCAUGUUUUAUAAAUGUAAUACCCUUGCUUUAGGGUUUGAAGCAAGCAGCAUUUAGUGGCCCCACACAUGUGCAAUUCUCAGUGCCCUGCCUGUGCGGGCGCCUCUCAGUCCCUGCCCCUGAGGUCCUCAGAAGACGCCUUCAGGAAACGGAGGGUCUAGGGUGCUCAGUAAGAAUGGGGCUGGAGACAGACGUCUUAAAUCUUUGCGCACUGAAGCCCAGUUUUCAUCUCUUAAGGGAGGAAGCAGACACUGGCUUUAUUUUUAUUGCUGAACUAAUCCUUAACCUGAAAAGAAUUCAGACUAGAGAACUGUGUCUCAAGAAAGGUGAAGGUCUGGCUGUGCCAGUACUUCCUACUUGUCACCAUUUUAACCUUUGGCAUUUAUCUUUUUCUCGCUCCCCCCCCCCGCCUUUUUAUCUUCUAUUUCGAAAAAUACCGAAUCAGAGAAAUGCAGUGGUGGAAGGAACUAAAAAAAUCCUCAGAUCCAGCCUUUACAUGUUGCAGAAAACGAGGGGUCCAAAGAGAUUAAAUGAGUUCCCAUUGUGGCUCAACAGUUUAAGAAUCAUACUAGUAUCCCUGGCCUUGCUCAUGGAUCAAGGAUCCUGCGUUGCUACAAACUGUGGGCAGCUGCAGCUCCAAUUCGACCCCUAGUCUAGGAAUGUCCAUAUGCCACAGGUGCGGCCCUGAAAAGGAAAAAAUAAAUAAACUAAGAGAUUAAAUGGAGUCCCAGCUAUGGUAGCAUAACUGGAACUAAACUCCAGGAUCCUCAUGCCAGGCAGUGGAGCUUUGGCUGGAGUUGAGAGCCUGGGUUCCCAGUCAGAAUUGGCAGCCCCUUUCUGUUCCAGACCAGCCACAGUGGGAGGUCUGAAGUUCCGGUAGACGUUGGAACUCAUUUUCAAGAUUGAGGGAUGCUGUUAUGUCUUCAGAUAGAAAAUUGUAUUGCUUUUUAUUGCUUAUCUCCUGUGAUCUUAGAUCGGCCUCUUUCCAAACUGAGGUGGUGGUAUCAUACCUCAUUUUUGAGCCGCUAGCUCCUAUUCUUCCUUUUUUUGACUCUGACAAUAAGAACAACAGGCAGAAGUUAGUUUUUGAAGCCCCAGAGAGAGAGAGUCAGUUAGAUGCCUUUAGUGGUUCUGCGUGUGGGAGCUGGCAUUUCCACCAGGCAGGGGAAUGCAGCGACUUCUGCACCUCUCCAAAACUCAUCAGCAGUCUCUUCCCUUCCUGCCCUCUCAGUGACCCUAGAAUUUGUCGGAAUAAAAGGUAACUCUUCAUUUUAACAACACUGGGAACUUUAGCUGUUAAAUGAUGCAAAUAAGGAGUUCCUACUGUGGCUCAGCAGUAAUGAACCCGUUCCAUCCCUGGCCCCAAUUAGUGGGUUAAGAAUCCAGUGUUGCUUUGAGCUGUGGCUCCUAUCCGGCAUGGCUGUCUGCUGCAGCUCCAAUCCAACCCCUAGCUUUGAAUUUCCAUAUGCUGCAGGUUUGCCCCCCCCAAAAAAAAGCAAAAAAAAA
rnacentral:lncRNA from 1 species